ACCAGGAAGUUCUGGGCCAAU
rnacentral:snRNA from 1 species